CCACAUGACUCUGUUGCAUCUCAUCCCCAUCUUUUAUCCUAUCCCUACAUCUGCUGUCCAAAUAGGACCCUCCACAAGUCCUGUGUGAUGAAGAGUGGUGGAGAAAUAGAGGACUCAAUCAACUCAACCUGAGACAAAUGGAAUAGUUAUGGAAAUCCAGAAAGUCUACCAGCUGCUUUGACCAAGCACCUAAAGAAAACAAGUACAGAAGACAUACGAAAUCCCCAUUUUCACACAUGAGUACCUUGACUUUAAAAGAGCUGAGUUAGAAUACUGAAAAAAUGAAAAGAGAAGAGAAAAGAAAGCUGAAGAGGAACUAGGAGAGGGAGCAAGUGCUGAAGAGUGAUCAAUGAGCAGCAGCUAUCU
rnacentral:lncRNA from 1 species